ACUCUAUGACAAACUGCGGGUGAGAUACUUCAUCUCUGUUGAAACAAGUUGCGUUUUAUUAAUGUUAAAUUGAAAAAUUGUCAUUCAACUGGCGAAUCUGUUUGAUGUACAGAAAGUACCUUUUAAGACUGGGAUAUGGGCCUCGAAAUAUCCAAAGUUGGCUGUCAUUGAAUCGAACAGUCCAAGCGAACCAAGAGGAAACCAGAUCUACAACAACGUAUUCUACGGAGCUAAGACUUCGUCUAUACGUGGCCUGGUACAAAAUGUGGACUGGUUUAACGUGUCGAACAACGCCUACUCAGAUCUGACGUCAGACUUCUAUGACGUAGCAGUGCAGGACUUCCGGCCUCAUUGUCAGCUGGCACAGUUCGCACAUAGGGUCCAUUUUCCGACCCCAAUACAACUGAACCAGGUGGGUCCACGUUUCGCCGUGGGACCUAAAUACAACGAACACGUGGCGGCGGCCCCUGUCACACACAGCUCUCCUUCCCCAUGUACCACUUACCCACCGGUCACACAUGUACCCAAAGGAUCUUAUCUACCGGACGGAUCCGCCCCAAAUACAAUACACGCAACCCCCAAACAAGGUUAGACAAAUGCAUGGUAUUGCGGUACAGUGAACAGGCGUUCAUUUCAGCUAAAAAUUUUAAAGAUAUUAUAGACAUUAUUUGUUUUAUUACAAUGAACUGGUUGCUAUACUGAUAUUAGCUGUGCAGGGGAUGUACCAUUCCCUCUCUAUUGCAUUGCUUGUGCAAUUUGAAGGAUGUUGGUUGUAUGUGGAAAAAUGCGCCUCACACCCCGGACUGAUAUCUAGAAACAAAACUCAUUUUCACCGAGACACGAACCCUGGUGCCAACACCAGACAGUCUCUCUGUCUGCAGCGAGUGUCUCACUACGUCAGCUACUGUGGAGCAGAGUCCCUCUUCCAUGUUAUUUUCGGACCUACGGGUACGUUUACACGAACUUUGCAAUCGACCUAAAAAGGUUGCUUUAGUCAGAUUCUAAUUUUCUAUAAAUCAUUCAGUCAUAAUUACUUCCACUAUCCUUUGAUUCAUUUUAAAGUUUAAUAAUAUUUACUGUAGAGAAACGAUUUUAAUUGCAGAUUUGACAUGUCUUAAGGUGGCUCACUACACUUUGAAAUAGUUUCUCAAAUCAGCAGAAAAUUAAUUGAUGAUAGAUAGUCGGAUGCAUAAGAAGUAUUCAAGUAAAAUAAAAAAAUUGCAAUUUUGGAUGAAAAAUUAUUAUUUUCAUAAAUACGAAAUUCCCAGGCGCGCGGAGUCAACUUGUGAUAUGCGAUUCGCAAGCCCAAUAAUUUAACGAUAUACGACCAAAAAUAUUGAUAAAAACGAUUUCACAAAACAUUUAAAUCGCUAUUUGUGAAAUAAGUCUUGAUGUAGUGAGGUACCUCAAGUUUUAAGAUAUCAUAUAUUCUCCAAUGACAACACGAUUAGGCAUACAAUACUAAUGUGAAUGCUAUGGUUUUCGAGGCUAACUGUUUUUAGUACGUUGUUGAUUAUCAGGGGCGAUGACUGUUGGGGGACACGAGGGCUGCUACUUCGCUGAAUAUGGCUGUCCUGACCACAGCCAUAGCCUACCAAAGGUUGGCCUUAUCCACCACGACGCCUACGCCGAGCACUCAUUAAAUGCCUUACACAAUGAACACAACUGCCUCUCACGCGCAUUUCCGCAAUAUCGUUAUUGUGGUAGUCACGUUGAUUAUCCAUACACCAGCAUAUUUUUACCGACAGGUAUAGCUCUUCUAUCUUUCAUGUACCGCUUGGUUUUCCAUCGAUUAAGAUACAAUUGUGGAUGUCAAGGUAUUCAAGGAAAUGAUAAUGAUGUAAAACAUUGAUUUGAUUGAUUUUAAACAAGGAUGUUUUAGAAUGACAUUGAUAUUAUAAUUCUAAAUUCAGCUAUUUCAACUUUGAGUUUCUUUAUAUGUCAUUGAAACAGGUAAAACUACAACAGCGGGUGGUGGAUGUUGGAUUCAAAUGGACGCAUGCAUAGCCGAUUCUUCUAUACAGUUAUCUUUUUAUGAUGCGUUGGGACAAACAAGUUCGGGAUCAGACAACAGCCAGGAGAUCUGCUUUAACCGGGCGGCCUAUUACUGGUAUCACUGUGGAUCUCACAAUACCUACCCUGUUACAGCGUUCUUCCGUCCACAAGCAGCUUCCGCCACGUACCCGCCGUCUUAAUAAAAUGUUUGUUGAA
rnacentral:misc_RNA from 1 species